rnacentral:rRNA from 1 species
GCCGCAUUGACCUCGUGCCCUCCCACGUCGGCGCAAGGAGGUAAAAAGGUACUACGGGGGUAGGCGCCGAGCCGCCGACCGACACAGGGGCAAUAGGGUGCGCGUCGGCGCGACCAAGCCGGAAGGAAGGCACGCGAAGCUCGCUGCUUUCCUUGCUUGCCUCCUCCCGCCCCCAAAAUAAAAAUCUGAAAACAGCAAGGCACCAAACGCCCGGAGCCCCGAGCACACCACCACACACCAUUUCUUCCCCCUUCUGCCUCUCGCCUCGUCCCCCCCGCAGACCUCAGCCGGCCUACCCUCUUCCUCCUCUAAAAGCCCAGGUCAAACUGCCCCGGCCAGCGAGGGAGACGGGGGAGAGAGAGAGGAGAGAGGCUCUCGGAUCCGAGCUGCCCCCUCCCGCGCCCGCCCAGAUCUCCUGCGCAGCCCAGCACCCGACGCCCCGGAUCUGCACCUGCCGCAAAGAUCUACAAGCAACCGGCCGGCAGCUUGCGGUCGCUGGUGGUUGGUUGGUUGGCGAGGAGGAGGAGGAGGAUUAGGCGGCGGAGAUGUCGUCCAGCACGAUCCGGAAGGCGCUGGGCGCCGUCAAGGACCAGACCAGCAUCGGGCUCGCCAAGGUCACCAGCAACAUAGCGCCGGAGCUCGACGUGCUCAUCGUCAAGACCACCAGCCACGACGACGAGCCGGCCGAGGAGCGCCACAUCCGCGAGAUCCUCCACCUCACCUCCGGAUCCCGCGCCCACGUCGCCGCCGCGGUCGCCGGCUGCGCCCGCAGGCUCUCCCGCACCCGCGACUACGUCGUCGCGCUCAAGUCGCUCAUGCUCGUGCACCGUCUCCUCACCGACGGCGACCCCUUCUUCCACCGGGAGCUCCUCCACGCCACGCGCCGGGGCACCCGCCUCCUCAACCUCUCCGACUUCCGUGACGAGGCGCACUCUGGCUCGUGGGACCACUCCGCCUUCGUCCGCACCUAUGCGCUGUACCUCGACCAGCGCCUCGAGUUCCUCCUCCACGAGCGCAAGCAGGGUUCCAACGCUAAUGGAAGCGCCAGCCUGAACGGGCCAUCGCCGCGUGACCGUUGGGGUUCUCCUGACCCGUAUGGCCGCCGGUCACCCUCCUACACCUCCCCUCCGGGGAAUGGGUAUGGAGGGUACGAUGAUAACCGUGACAGCAGGAAUGGCGGGAACUCUGAUGACAAGAGGCCGCCGACCCCUGUGAGGGAUAUGAAGCCGGAGCGGGUCCUUGGCCGUAUGCACCACCUGCAGCAGCUGCUCGACAGGUUCCUUGCCUGCCGCCCCACAGGUGGCGCGAAGCAGAGCAGGAUGGUGCUGGUUGCACUGUAUCAGAUGGCGAGGGAGAGCUUCCAGCUCUACGCCGAUAUCUGCGAGGUACUUGCGGUGCUGCUGGACAGGUUCUUUGACAUGGAAUACGCUGAUUGUGUCAAGGCCUUCGAGGCAUAUGCCAGUGCGGCAAAGCAGAUUGAUGAGCUUUGCUCAUUUUAUGCUUGGUGUAAGGACACCGGGGUAGCGAGAUCAUCGGAGUACCCAGAGGUGCAGCGGGUCACUGAUAAGUUACUGGAGACAUUGGAGGAGUUUAUGAGGGACCGGGCAAAGCGCCCCAAGAGCCCACCACGGGAGCCUGAGCCCGAGCCGGUCAAGGAGGAAGAGCCAGAGCCGGACAUGAACAGCAUCAAGGCGCUUCCUGCACCAGAGGACUACAAGGAGCCUGAACCUGAGAAGGUGGAGGAAGAGGUGAAGCCAGAGCCCCCGCCGCAGCCCCAGGGUGAUCUGGUGGAUCUUAGAGAAGACACUGUGAGUGCAGAUGAGCAAGGCAAUAGGCUUGCUCUGGCCCUCUUCCAAGGGCCACCUGCUGCUGGUGGUAGCAAUGGGUCAUGGGAGGCCUUCCCUUCCAAUGGUGGCAACGAAGUGACUUCUGCGUGGCAGAAUCCUGCGGCUGAGCCCGGUAAGGCUGAUUGGGAACUCGCCCUUGUGGAGACGGCUAGCAACUUGUCCAAGCAGAAGGCUGUAAUGACAGGUGGUAUGGAUAAUCUGCUACUGAAUGGUAUGUACGACCAAGGUGUUGUGCGUCAGCAUGUCAACGCACAGGCGACUAGUGGGAGCUCCAGCAGUGUUGCCCUACCUGCGCCUGGACAGAAGACACAGAUGCUGGCUCUUCCGGCACCAGACGGUUCGAUGCAGAACGUUGGUGGGGAUCCUUUUGCGGCAUCCCUUACCUUCGCACCACCAUCCUAUGUGCAGAUGGCCGAGAUGGAGAAGAAGCAGCAGUUCUUGACACAGGAGCAGAUGAUGUGGCAGCAGUACCAACGGGACGGCAUGCAGGGGCCGUCGAGCUUGGCCAAGCUCGAUCGGACCUACAACAACGGCUUCGGCUCAAACCCAGCCAUGCCAUACGGGAUGCCAAACGCGCCAAUGGCAAAUACAGGGUAUUACUACCCCACUUACUGAGCUAUUCUUUGUUCAAAUCCUUACAGUUGCUGUGAAUUUUGUUCUGUAUUUGUGAUCUUACUCCUCGGGGCUGUGUCCAGCAUCAGUUGUUGUGUCCCUUGUCUCUGGAUCAAACCUUUUGGUCUCUUAUAUAUAUGUAAUUCUAUUUGUUUGGAACCAAAUGCGGCAUCUAAGGGUUGGUUAUAGUUGAAUACAUAAUCU